rnacentral:rRNA from 1 species
ACCAGCGGAGGGAUCAUUACAGAGUUGCAAAACUCCCUAAACCAUUGUGAACGUUACCUUCAAACCGUUGCUUCGGCGGGCGGCCCGGGUCCGCCCGGUGCCCCCUGGCCCCCUAGCGGGGCGCCCGCCGGAGGAAACCCAACUCUUGAUUAUUAUGGCCUCUCUGAGUCUUCUGUACUGAAUAAGUCAAAACUUUCAACAACGGAUCUCUUGGUUCUGGCAUCGAUGAAGAACGCAGCGAAAUGCGAUAAGUAAUGUGAAUUGCAGAAUUCAGUGAAUCAUCGAAUCUUUGAACGCACAUUGCGCCCGCCAGUAUUCUGGCGGGCAUGCCUGUUCGAGCGUCAUUUCAACCAUCAAGCCCCAGGCUUGUGUUGGGGACCUGCGGCUGCCGCAGGCCCUGAAAACCAGUGGCGGGCUCGCUGUCACACCGGGCGUAGUAGAUUUUAUCUCGCUCAGGGCGUGCUGCGGGUUCCGGCCGUUAAAAAGCCUUUUUUACCCAAGGUUGACCUCGGAU